UUGAUCACUCUCAACAGCUAGCCUACCCCCAAAAUGCAACAACCAACAUUAAUAACCCCAAAAACACAACUCACUGUUUAAAACAAAUCAUUUUACCCCCUAAGUAUGGGAGACAGAAAAGGGACAAACAGAGCUAUAGAGAAAGUACCGCAAGGGAAAGCUGAAAGAGAAAUGAAAAAACCCAGUAAAGAGUAAAAAAGUAGAUAUAACAAAUCGUACCUUUUGCAUCAUGAGCCAGCCAGAAAACUUCGAGCAAAAAGAAUUUUAGUUCGAAACCCCGAAACUUGGUGAGCUACUCCAAGACAGCCUAUAAUAGGGCCAACCCGUCUCUGUUGCAAAAGAGUGGGAAGAGCUUUGAGUAGAGGUGACAGACCUACCGAACCGAGUUAUAGCUGGUUGCCUAUAAAAUGAAUAGAAGUUCAGCCUCUAUAAUUCUUUAUCUCAACAAGGCAACGCCACAUAAAAAUGACAAGAAUUCAAGAGAGUUAUUCAAAGGGGGGACAGCCCCUAUGAAAAAAGACACAACUUUGAUAGAAGGUUGAAGACCAAAAGACACUAAAGCAACACACCUUGGUGGGCCUAAAAGCAGCCACCCAUGAAGAAAGCGUUAAAGCUCAAGUAUACCUGCUCCUUAUAAUCAAGACAGCCCAAUCUAAAACCCCUAACCACCUAAUAGGCCCUUCCAUGCCUACAUGGAAAAGAUACUGCUAGUAUGAGUAAUAAGAGGGACAAGCCCCUCUCCUGGCAUCUGUGUACAUCAGAACGAACCCGCACUGAAAAUUAACGUCCCCCAACAAAGAGGGCCCUGAGGCACAUCAAACUAAACAAGCAAACCCCUCAAGUAAAAACGUUACCCCCACACAGGUGUGCCAAAGGAAAGACUAAAAGAAAAAGAAGGAACUCGGCAAACACUGGCCUCGCCUGUUUACCAAAAACAUCGCCUCUUGCACCACAAAGUAUAAGAGGUCCCGCCUGCCCUGUGACUUGUUAGUUUAACGGCCGCGGUAUUUUGACCGUGCGAAGGUAGCGUAAUCACUUGUCUUUUAAAUGGAGACCUGUAUGAAUGGCAUAACGAGGGCUAAGCUGUCUCCUUUUUCCAGUCAAUGAAAUUAAUCUUCCCGUGCAGAAGCGGGAAUAAGCCCAUAAGACGAGAAGACCCUAUGGAGCUUUAGACAAAAGGUAGCCCGCAUUGCAAACCACUCAAUCAAGAGUGCUAACCAAGCAGCCCUGCCCCUUUGUCUUUGGUUGGGGCGACCAUGGAGAAACAAAAAUCCUCCAAGUGGAACGGGGGGACACCCCUCAAAGCUAGAGCAACAGCUCCCACAAACAGAACAUCUGACCGACAAGACCCGGCAAAGCCGAUCAACGAACCAAGUUACCCUAGGGAUAACAGCGCAAUCCCCUUUUAGAGCCCAUAUCGACAAGGGGGUUUACGACCUCGAUGUUGGAUCAGGACAUCCUAAUGGUGCAGCCGCUAUUAAGGGUUC
rnacentral:rRNA from 1 species